CACGUAGUUAGCCGGGGCUUUCUUCUCAGGUACCGUCACUCCGAGUUCAGUUACUAACCCGGACGUUCUUCCCUGGCAACAGAGCUUUACGAUCCGAAAACCUUCAUCACUCACGCGGCGUUGCUCCGUCAGACUUGCGUCCAUUGCGGAAGAUUCCCUACUGCUGCCUCCCGUAGGAGUCUGGGCCGUGUCUCAGUCCCAGUGUGGCCGAUCACCCUCUCAGGUCGGCUACGCAUCGUCGCCUUGGUGAGCCGUUACCUCACCAACUAGCUAAUGCGCCGCAGGCCCAUCCUCAAGUGACAGAUUGCUCCGUCUUUCCAAAUUCGUUCAGGCGAACAAAUCAUGUAUUCGGUAUUAGCUACCGUUUCCGGUAGUUGUCCCAAGCUUGAGGGCAGGUUGCCUACGUGUUACUCACCCGUCCGCCGCUAAGUAUCCGAGAAGCAAGCUUCUCGUCAACUCCGCUCGACUUGCAUGUAUUAGGCACGCCGCCAGCGUUCGU
rnacentral:rRNA from 1 species